rnacentral:rRNA from 1 species
CCUACGGGUGGCAGCAGUGGGGAAUAUUGGACAAUGGGCGAAAGCCUGAUCCAGCCAUGCCGCGUGUGUGAAGAAGGCCUUCGGGUUGUAAAGCACUUUCAGUGGGGAAGAAAGCCUUGGGGCUAAUACCCUCGAGGAAGGACAUCACCCACAGAAGAAGCACCGGCUAACUCCGUGCCAGCAGCCGCGGUAAUACGGAGGGUGCGAGCGUUAAUCGGAAUUACUGGGCGUAAAGCGCGCGUAGGCGGUCUGAUAAGCCGGUUGUGAAAGCCCCGGGCUCAACCUGGGAACGGCAACCGGAACUGUCAGGCUAGAGUGCAGGAGAGGAAGGUAGAAUUCCCGGUGUAGCGGUGAAAUGCGUAGAGAUCGGGAGGAAUACCAGUGGCGAAGGCGGCCUUCUGGACUGACACUGACGCUGAGGUGCGAAAGCGUGGGUAGCAAACAGGAUUAGAUACCCGAGUAGU